AUUGAACGCUGGCGGAAUGCUUUACACAUGCAAGUCGAACGGCAGCACGGGGGCAACCCUGGUGGCGAGUGGCGAACGGGUGAGUAAUACAUCGGAACGUGCCCGGUCGUGGGGGAUAACGUAGCGAAAGUUACGCUAAUACCGCAUACGAUCUGAGGAUGAAAGCGGGGGACCUUCGGGCCUCGCGCGAUCGGAGCGGCCGAUGUCAGAUUAGGUAGUUGGUGGGGUAAAGGCCUACCAAGCCGACGAUCUGUAGCUGGUCUGAGAGGACGACCAGCCACACUGGGACUGAGACACGGCCCAGACUCCUACGGGAGGCAGCAGUGGGGAAUUUUGGACAAAGGGCGCAAGCCUGAUCCAGCCAUUCCGCGUGCAGGACGAAGGCCUUCGGGUUGUAAACUGCUUUUGUAUGGAACGAAAAGGCUCUGGCUAAUACCUGGGGCUCAUGACGGUACCGUAAGAAUAAGCACCGGCUAACUACGUG
rnacentral:rRNA from 1 species